UUAUAUUUUCCCUAACAACACACAACAUUCCAGGAAUGUACUACCAAAGUUCUAUCAAUAUUUGAAUGUCCUGGACAUUUAGGGAACAUUCGGUGAACAUCUGUUUAAAUUAUUCCUGGAAUGUUACCAUAAGACAUUCUGUGAACAUACUACCAAUGUUCCUAUAUUUUAAGUUGCGAAAUAAUACAUACGUGUAACAGAUACAACAUUACUUAUAACAUACCAGACAAACUAAGUGACACUUUAGGCCUACAGUGCAAUAAUAUGUCAAAUUUAAAGAGUUUCCCAAGUUCAAUUAAUACAAUAUUAUAAACAUACAAAUGUAAUAAAAAUUAUUGUUCGCGAAUAUUCAAUUUGGAAUGCGAUUUUGUUAAUAAAAAAAAUACUUAUAACUUAUGCAAAACCCAAGAGAGGCAUUUAUAUUUAUUUCUUUUGCGUUCAUUUUCAAAUUCGCCGUGCAUAUAUUUUUGUGCAUGGCGCUUGAGAGGGCAUCACGUGACUAAAAACGACCAACCAACGACCUCGCUUCGGCCAUCUUGGCAUCUUCAUCUUCAUCUUGGCCACCUUGCUUUGCCGUGGGUGGAUCGUUGUUUGUGCUUUUUAAGAAUAUUUUUUUAAUUCGGAUACUUUUAUAAUAGCUUUAAUAGUAUUAUUAACAUAGUGAAUAAAAUGGUGUCCUGUUUUUAACGCAGUUGGAGUAGCAGAAACAAAUGUAGAUAAAAAAAUCUGCAGGAAUAACGUUUCAAUUAUGACAGAAGCUCCAAACAAAUGACUGUGAAUGAAAAGCCCUAUUAAAAGCUUUCCAGAAGAUCCUGCGAAGAAGACAUGAAGUAUAGAUCAGAUUUGUUAAUAGAGGAGUAUGUUCAAAACACUUUUUAGAAAAAGAUAUUGACAGAACUUCACUUUCAUCUGUUCGUUUAAGAGACUGUGCUGUUCCAAUAGCUUAUGUCACACAGAAUCAGCUGAGAGAAGUGGUCUACAAAAAACCAGAAAGGAAACGGAAUAUGUGGCUACGAAAAGCAAAAGAAAGGUUUACAAAGCAAAUGUGACACAUUUUUUUAUAAUAUUUAGGAAUGUCAGUAAAUUACAUUAAAAAAUGUAUGUAAAGAUUUUUUGCAAUAAAAAUGUUUAUAUUUAUCAAGGAUGUAUUAUUUGGUAUGGCCACAUAUCGUCAGUGAUGUGACAAUACCUCCUAUCUGUUUUUUUCAAGAGAUUUGUAAGAUAGACUAAAAACUUGUUUUGGCCACCUCCUGUUUUCAUAUAUUUUUUGACUUGUUUUGCAGUAAAUUCAGCUAUCUAUUUACUACAAAAAAGUCAGAAUACGUAUGAAAACAGAAAGUGACCUUAAAAAAUGU